UGCCUGCAUAUGUAGUUACAUUAAACUAUAUACAAAAUCCCUUAACUUCCUGCAGCUCAUCCUUUGAGUUCAGGUCAGGUUGCAUUCUUUCAAUGUAGAAUGCCUCCGUGACUUUUCUUUCCAAUGUUCCUUUUGUUUUCUUCAACAUCAAUGGAAUAAGCUUAGGCGAUUGACCCGGGUGUAACUGUUUGUAAUGUUUCGAGAAUGCCAUAUGUUGGUAAGAUUUCGCAUCGGGAUUUCUCGCAGAGCGAAGAUGUUCAUUGAACCUCACAGCGAAUGGUCGGCUGGUUUCUCCCACGUAAAUUCCAUGGUUCUUGUCACAUAAACCGCACUUUAUGGAGUAGACCAAAUCCUUCCGGAAGCACAUAUUCUUCUUGUCGCAAACUUGACAAAACUUACAUUUCGGACCAGUUCGGCAAUCGUUAUCAUACGGACGGGAUUGGACGAGCAUGCUUCUAAGCGACUUUCCCGGGCGCUGUAUCACUCUGAUGUUUAAGCCUUUUUUCCUGAUAGUUCUUCUGACGUCCGCAGUAAAUUCUUCCGAAAUAAACGGGAUUACCAAGCAAGCAUCUGGAUUUGGUGUAUUUGAUGAUUUCUUUGUUUUGCAUGUCCUUAGGCUGCCAGUUGUGAUGGUUUCUGCUGCAUAGCCAUUUCGGAUGGUGCGAUUUCUGAGUUCGCUCUCAGCUGUUGCUUUAAGGUUAUUAUCGGACGAAAUCAACGAAAUCGUUUUCAGUGUGUUUUCAAUAGCUCCAAUCUUCAUUGAUUUCGGAUGGUGAGAUAAUGCAUGAAUCAUUAUCCCUUUGUUUGCUUGUUUCGUGUACCAUGCCGUGUCCAAAGUGCCAUCAGGAUACACCAAAUCCAGAUGCUUGCUUGGUAAUCCCGUUUAUUUCGGAAGAAUUUACUGCGGACGUCAGAAGAACUAUCAGGAAAAAAGGCUUAAACAUCAGAGUGAUACAGCGCCCGGGAAAGUCGCUUAGAAGCAUGCUCGUCCAAUCCCGUCCGUAUGAUAACGAUUGCCGAACUGGUCCGAAAUGUAAGUUUUGUCAAGUUUGCGACAAGAAGAAUAUGUGCUUCCGGAAGGAUUUGGUCUACUCCAUAAAGUGCGGUUUAUGUGACAAGAACCAUGGAAUUUACGUGGGAGAAACCAGCCGACCAUUCGCUGUGAGGUUCAAUGAACAUCUUCGCUCUGCGAGAAAUCCCGAUGCGAAAUCUUACCAACAUAUGGCAUUCUCGAAACAUUACAAACAGUUACACCCGGGUCAAUCGCCUAAGCUUAUUCCAUCGAUGUUGAAGAAAACAAAAGGAACAUUGGAAAGAAAAGUCACGGAGGCAUUCUACAUUGAAAGAAUGCAACCUGACCUGAACUCAAAGGAUGAGCUGCAGGAAGUUAAGGGAUUUUGUAUAUAGUUUAAUGUAAUUACAUAUGCAGGCACGG